CCUACGGGAGGCAGCAGUGGGGAAUUUUGGACAAUGGGCGCAAGCCUGAUCCAGCAAUGCCGCGUGAGUGAAGAAGGCCUUCGGGUUGUAAAGCUCUUUUGUCAGGGAAGAAACGGUGGGGGCUAAUAUCUCCUACUAAUGACGGUACCUGAAGAAUAAGCACCGGCUAACUACGUGCCAGCAGCCGCGGUAAUACGUAGGGUGCAAGCGUUAAUCGGAAUUACUGGGCGUAAAGCGUGCGCAGGCGGUUUUGUAAGUCUGUCGUGAAAGCCCCGGGCUCAACCUGGGAAUUGCGAUGGAGACUGCAAGGCUUGAAUCUGGCAGAGGGGGGUAGAAUUCCACGUGUAGCAGUGAAAUGCGUAGAGAUGUGGAGGAACACCGAUGGCGAAGGCAGCCCCCUGGGUCAAGAUUGACGCUCAUGCACGAAAGCGUGGGGAGCAAACAGGAUUAGAUACCCUGGUAGUCCACGCCCUAAACGAUGUCUACUAGUUGUCGGGUUUUAAUUAACUUGGUAACGCAGCUAACGCGUGAAGUAGACCGCCUGGGGAGUACGGUCGCAAAGAUUAAAAACCUUNAAAAGGUAAUUAGACGGCGNGAGAGNGCGACGGACGACACGAGGGAGGAGG
rnacentral:rRNA from 1 species